GAUGAACGCUAGCGGCAGGCUUAACACAUGCAAGUCGAGGGGCAGCAUAAUGGAUAGCAAUAUCUAUGGUGGCGACCGGCGCACGGGUGCGUAACGCGUAUGCAACCUACCUUUAACAGGGGGAUAACACUGAGAAAUUGGUACUAAUACCCCAUAAUAUCAUAGAAGGCAUCUUUUAUGGUUGAAAAUUCCGAUGGUUAGAGAUGGGCAUGCGUUGUAUUAGCUAGUUGGUGGGGUAACGGCUCACCAAGGCGACGAUACAUAGGGGGACUGAGAGGUUAACCCCCCACACUGGUACUGAGGCACGGACCAGACUCCUACGGGAGGCAGCAGUGAGGAAUAUUGGUCAAUGGACGCAAGUCUGAACCAGCCAUGCCGCGUGCAGGAUGACGGCUCUAUGAGUUGUAAACUGCUUUUGUACGAGGGUAAACGCAGAUACGUGUAUCUGUCUGAAAGUAUCGUACGAAUAAGGAUCGGCUAACUCCGUG
rnacentral:rRNA from 1 species